GCUACCUAGGAGGCAGCAGACGGGGGAAGACUGAGGGUGCAAGCGUUAUCCGGAAUCACUGGUCGUAAAGCGUGCGGUGGUGGCGCGUUAAGUGAGAUGUUAAAUCGGGUGGCUCAACCAUAUCGAUGCGUCUCAUACUGGCGUGCUAGAGGACAGCAGAGGCAAGUGGAAUUGGUAGUGUAGCAGUGAAAUGCGUAGAUAUUACCAGGAACACCAAUGGCGAAGGCAGCUUGCUGGGCUACUCCUGACACUGAGGUACGAAAGCGUGGGGAGCGAACAGGAUUAGAUACCCCAGUAGUC
rnacentral:rRNA from 1 species